AUAAUCCUGGUGCUACCUUGGCCUUGACCUUGUGAGCAAAACAUACCCAGCACAGAAUUUGUCACAAUAAAUGUAAAAAGAAAAAGAAAGUAUAGAAGUUGUUGGUGUUCUGACGAUGGUUGUCUAACACAUUAGUACGGUAGUCAAAUGGUGUUCUUUGAUUUAACUGAAGCUGAGGUACAAUUAUAUAAAAGAUGUCAGGAUUUGUCGUUUGUCGUGCGAAUGAGAUACUGGUCGUGUCAGGCUGUUUUAAAUCUGAGCCAAGCAUUGUGACAGAUGGAUCAACUUUUGUUUUACCAGGACUUCAAAAAGUACAGAGAUUGUCCACCAGUAAUUUCACCAUUGUAGUAGAACUCAAGAAUCAGCCAACAGCCGAACAAACAAUAUCAAUAAACCUGAAAGCAGGAGCAGUGAUGAAAAUAAAUUCAAAGAAUGAUGAGAUGGUGCAAUACGCAGUAGCAAAAUUUUUGUCAAAAACUGAAGAUGAAAUGAAAGAAACACUAAAAGAAACUAUUGAGGCAACUUUUGGUAGUGUUAUUGGACUGAUGAGUGCAGAGGAUAUAAUGUUUGAUAAAAGAAAAUUUUCCAAAAGAGCAUAUGAAGCUCUUUCUGCUGAGUGUGUUCUGAUGGGUGUAUCAGUUAUAAGUAUUAAUGUUCUUGAAGUUUCUGAUGACCAUGGAUUUUAUCACAAUUUAAGGAUCGAUAGAAUACAAAAAGCUAGAAGUGAGCAGGAAGUCUUAGGGAAUCACGAUUCGUUUGUUGCCAGAUUUGAUGAAAAAAGAAAAGAAUUCGAAGCUAACAAAAGUAAAACAUCAUCUCCAGAAAAAAAGAAUCUACAUGGAAUAGAGUUAGAAUUUUCUAGUGCAACCAAAGAUUCAGGCUCAUCAAAAGAAAAGGAAACAGAAAACCGAGUGGAAACAACAUACACAUUUUCACAAACGGACAAUACAGGAGAUUUGUACAAAGGUUAUGAUUGGAGUGCAGCUGACAAUAAAUAUGUGUGAAAAUAAGAUUCUUGCUUGCCAUAUAAGUAUCCAAGAAAUCUGAUUAAACCUGUCAAGUAGAUAUACAUUUUCUUGUAGUACUAUUUUGUAGAUACAAAUCUAUGGAUAAGAGCUUUAGUCAGCUGUGUGAAGAGGGGACUGCCAUAUAGACGUUUGUCAAUGCAUUAAAUUUUGUACAGGAUUUGUAAAGCGGUGGACACACUAGUGGAAUGAUUCGCCCAAAUCGUUCAGCCUAAUCCAUUGGCGCAGAAACGCAGCCGAAUGAGUGGACACACUUGGCAAAUCCUUCGGUUGAUUCACCAGGGGAUUGCGCCAUCUUUCACGUCACAGGAUUAAACAUGACAGUGACCAUGUCUUCAAACAAUCACUUAACUUCUCGAUAUGAGUGGUGAUUGGCUAAUGAAUUCUACAAUCGGGCGAAUGCUUCGGCGAAGCGAACAUACUAGGCAAAAAUAUUGAACAUAAUUCGGCCGAAUAGAAAUUCAGCUGAAUGUCAGUGAAUACACUAAGACGACUGUCGGCGUCAAUUGAUUAGGUGGAAUUAUUCGGCUGAAUCAUUCGGCUAGUGUGUCCACCGCUUUACGUAAAUUUCUUUGUACUAGCUUCUAUUUUAGAUUAAUCUUUGUGCAUGAUCAAUCUGAUUAAAACACAGAUCCUAUUUCGUUUUUACACGUUUUAUUUAUAUGUCAGAUUAAAGUAUAUUUUUAUACUUAAACUAUAUGGUCACGAUUUAUUUAUAUUUUAGAUUAAGCUAUAUACAUGAUUUUUAUUUUAAAGUUAAUCUUUGUACAUGCAAAUGAUUUUUUAUCAUAACUUGAACUGUGUUAUUUGUUGUAAAUUAAUUUAACCCACAAAUAUGUUUAUGUGCUAUUUUUCAAUCAUAUACAUGCUCAUAAUAAAAUGAAUCUCUA